rnacentral:rRNA from 1 species
CAGGAUGAACGCUAGCGGCAGGCCUAAUACAUGCAAGUCGAACGGUGAUAUUUAUAUCAUAGUGGCGCACGGGUGCGUAACACGUAUGCAACCUACCUAUUAUUGGGGGAUAGCCUUUGGAAACGGAGAUUAAUACCGCAUAAUACGAUUAACUGGCAUCGGUUGAUUGUUAAAGCAUUUGCGAUAAUAGAUGGGCAUGCGUCCAAUUAGUUAGUUGGUGUGGUAAUGGCUCACCAAGACGAUGAUUGGUAGGGGAUCUGAGAGGAUAAUCCCCCACACUGGCACUGAGAUACGGGCCAGACUCCUACGGGAGGCAGCAGUAGGGAAUAUUGGGCAAUGGGCGGAAGCCUGACCCAGCCAUGCCGCGUGCAGGAAGACGGCGUUAUGCGUUGUAAACUGCUUUUUUAUAGGAAGAAGGAUCCCUUGCGAGGGAAGGUGACGGUACUAUAAGAAUAAGCACCGGCUAACUCCGUGCCAGCAGCCGCGGUAAUACGGAGGGUGCAAGCGUUGUCCGGAUUUAUUGGGUUUAAAGGGUGCGUACGCGGUUUAUUAAGUCAGUGGUGAAAGACGGUCGCUCAACGAUUGCAGUGCCAUUGAUACUGGUAG